rnacentral:rRNA from 1 species
CCUACGGGUGGCAGCAGUAGGGAAUCUUCCACAAUGGACGAAAGUCUGAUGGAGCAACGCCGCGUGAGUGAAGAAGGGUUUCGGCUCGUAAAGCUCUGUUGGUAGUGAAGAAAGAUAGAGGUAGUAACUGGUCUUUAUUUGACGGUAAUUACUUAGAAAGUCACGGCUAACUACGUGCCAGCAGCCGCGGUAAUACGUAGGUGGCAAGCGGUGUCCGGUUUUAUUGGGCGGAAAGGGAGUGCAGUCGGUUCAAUAAGUCUGAUGUGAAAGCCUUCGGCUCAACCGGAGAAUUGCAGUAGAAACUGUUAGACUUGAGUGCAGAAGAGGAGGGUGGAACGCCAUGUGUAGCGGUGAAAUGCGUAGAUAUAUGGAAGAACACCAGUGGCGAAGGCGGCUCUCUGGUCUGCAACUGACGCUGAGGCUCGAAAGCGUGGGUAGCGAACAGGAUUAGAUACCCGUGUAGUC